rnacentral:rRNA from 1 species
UAGUCCACGCCGUAAACGAUGAGUGCUAGCUGUCGGGACAUUAGUCUCGGUGGCGCAGCUAACGCAGUAAGCACUCCGCCUGGGAAGUACGGUCGCAAGAUUAAAACUCAAAGGAAUUGACGGGGACCCGCACAAGCGGUGGAGCAUGUGGUUUAAUUCGAGGCAACGCGAAGAACCUUACCAGGACUUGACAUCCUGUGCCACUUCCAGAGAUGGAACGUUCCCUUCGGGGACGCAGUGACAGGUGCUGCAUGGCUGUCGUCAGCUCGUGUCGUGAGAUGUUCGGUUAAGUCCGGCAACGAGCGCAACCCACAUCUUUAGUUGCCAGCAUUUAGUUGGGCACUCUAAAGAAACUGCCCGUGAUAAGCGGGAGGAAGGUGUGGAUGACGUCAAGUCCUCAUGGCCCUUACGGGUUGGGCUACACACGUGCUACAAUGGUAGUGACAGUGAGUUAAUCUCCAAAAACUAUCUCAGUUCGGAUUGUCGUCUGCAACUCGAC